rnacentral:rRNA from 1 species
UGCCAGCCGCCGCGGUAAUACGAAGGGUGCUAGCGUUGUUCGGAAUUACUGGGCGUAAAGAGCAUGUAGGCGGAUGAAUUAGUCAGAGGUGAAAGCCCCGAGCUCAACUUGGGAACUGCCCUCAAAACUGUCGAUCUAGAGACCGGGAGAGGUAAGCGGAAUUCCUAGUGUAGAGGUGAAAUUCGUAGAUAUUAGGAAGAACACCAGUGGCGAAGGCGGCUUCCUGGGCCAAUACUGACGCUGAGGUGCGAAAGCGUGGGGAGCAAACAGGAUUAGAUA